rnacentral:rRNA from 1 species
ACGAGUAGAAGAGGCGGCGUUCACGGGGCGGCGGCGAGCAGGUGUGUUAUGUCAUGAUGUCAGAGACAGCUCAAGAACGCCACAACUACGGAAACGCCACGUCUAAACGAGCAGCCCCACAAGUAGCUGUGGUAAGAGCUCGACGCCCCCCCAGGGCCGCUCCUGCACCUAGACCACGCACCACCGGACCGACAAGUUGGUGAAGUGGAAGUGGUAGCCGUGGUCUCCCUUGACGCCCAGGUAGCAGACGCGGCGGUACGAUACCUGGGAGUAGACGAACUACUUCCCACAUCUCAUGACGUUCGUCGUAAGACCAUACACGGCUAACACGUGCAGUCUUAUUAGUAAACUCUAUCGUCAGUGAACUCACACAUUUGAGUUCGAGGAAAAACGACGACCGAUCUCAUCAAUGACCAUAGGACCUCAACUCGUUAUGAACUCGUGAGUCUACGCUACUUUUUAAUCUAUACGCUUUACCAGUCAUUUAUUGAGAAAUGACAUUGCUCCAAGUAACUAUACCGAUGUAGGGCCCCGAACUGAUGCCCGCGAGGAAGGGCACUGUGGCAGUGGUAUGGUGUGUAGCCGGUGGGCCUGCGGCCGUGUACGGCGGCCGAGGGGAACGCGCGGACACGAUAAUACAACCGUAUACAAUGUAGCACACAGAUCGGGGUGAUAUAUACUCUCCGGAUCCUAUGUUUCACAGGAUGAUCCUGUGCUGAGGUAUAGGAUAGAUUU